GACGAACGCUGGCGGCGUGCUUAAUACAUGCAAGUCAACUGAACUUUAGGUAGCAAUAUUUAAAGGGAGGUGGCGCACGGGUGAGUAACACGUAGGUAAUCUGCCUUCAGGACUGACAUAACUCCGCGAAAGCGGGACUAAAAUCAGAUGAUGCAGCGGCUCGACAUCGAGACAGUUGUUAAACCUUCGGGGCCUGAAGAUGAGCCUGCGUCUGAUUAGGUAGUUGGAGGGGUAAUGGCCCACCAAGCCUGCGAUCAGUAGCUGGUCUGAGAGGAUGAUCAGCCACACUGGAACUGAGACACGGUCCAGACUCCUACGGGAGGCAGCAGUAAGGAAUAUUGCUCAAUGGCCGAAAGGCUGAAGCAGCAACGCCGCGUGGAGGAUGAAAUACUUUAGUAUGUAAACUCCUGUAAGAGGGGAAAAAUAUACAGUUCUGCUGUAUUGAUUGUACCCUCAGAGUAAGCACCGGCUAACUACGUG
rnacentral:rRNA from 1 species